AGAGUUUGAUCCUGGCUCAGGGUUAACGCUGGCGGUAUGUCUAAUACAUGCAAGUCGCGCGAGGUUUCGAACCGAGCGGCGGACGGCUGAGUAACACGUUGGAUACCUGCCCCAGACUCAGGGAUAACAUCUAGAAAUAGGUGCUAAUACCGGAUAGUCCCGCAAGGGUAAAGCUUUUGCGGUCUGGGAGGGUCCUGCGGCCUAUCAGCUUGUUGGUGAGGUAGUGGCUCACCAAGGCGAUGACGGGUAGCUGGUCUGAGAGGAUGAUCAGCCAGAAUGGGACUGAGACACGGCCCAUACNCCUACUACGGGUGGC
rnacentral:rRNA from 1 species